UGCCAGCAGCCGCGGUAAUACAGAGGGUGCAAACGUUGUUCGGAAUCACUGGGCAUAAAGCGCACGUAGGCGGUUCAGUAAGUGUGAAGUGAAAGCCCACGGCUCACCCGUGGAAUUGCUUUGCAUACUGCUGAACUCGAGGAAAGUAGGGGAGAGCAGAACUCUUGGAGGAGCGGUGAAAUGCGUAGAUAUCAAGAGGAAUACCAGUGGCGAAGGCGGCUCUCUGGUCCUUUUCUGACGCUGAGGUGCGAAAGCUAGGGUAGCGAACGGGAUUAGAUA
rnacentral:rRNA from 1 species